UACGCUUACAAGCACAUGUCAACCUAGGUGGGACUUCGGAUAUUCGGUUCGGGUUCGGAUAAGAUCUGAUCGGGUCCGGGUUUUUCGGAUAAAUGAAUUCUAUACCCAAUGGGUACUUAGUAAAUUUCGGUUCGGGUUUCGGAUCGGGUACUACCGGUUUCGGGUCGGUUCCGGGUACCCGUUUCUUAUGUGAAUUAUAUAAAUAUUUACAAAAUAAAAUAAUUAUAUACCAGUUUUUUAUUUAUUUAUUUUAUUUUUUUAAAAAAAGUUAAUAGAAAUUGUAUAUAUAUUAGUAAUAUGUAUUAAAUACAACGAAGUUGAACUAGUCUAGUGGUAUUGCAGUUGUUGCUUUGCCUAUCCAACCCGGGUUCAACCCUCGAAAGAUACAAAUCUAUGUUUUUUAAGCAUAAAAUUCGGGUUAAACGGGUACCCGUUCGGUUUCGGGUAAAAACCGGAACCGAACCGAUACCCAUGGAUAAUUAACACUAAUACCCAUCAGAUAAAUUGCCUAGAACCGAAACCGAACCGAACCGGUCCAUUUCGGGUCGGUUCCGGUUCGGGUAUUCGGUUAUGGAUAAAAAUCCCAGGCCUAUGUCAACCCACGAAAAAUAUAUAUUGUGGAUUCAUAUCAACAAAACAAAGUAAUUUUUUUAUUUUGGUGGUCUUAAUAUUCUUUUAUUUUACGGUUCAAUACAUAAUUCAAAGUUUGGCAAAAAAAACAUAAUUCAAAGUUUGGAAAAAAAAAACAUAAUUCAAAGCUAAAACAGAUGGAGCCGUAUCAUGGAGGUAUUGAUACGGAUCCAAUAAUACAUUAAAAAAUCUCUCUCGAACUCUUUUAAAAGUUUAGAAUAAUUAUCUAAAGUUGAAAACAUCUUUUCAUAUUAGAAAAAUCAAAGUUAUAGAAAAAUUAACAUUCUUUAAAUACUUAAUAUAUAUUUCUCUCUUUCCGUCUUUUCGCUAAUUACUCAUCAUUUAGCUCGUGUUUUAAAAAUACACUCAUAGAAAAAGCGACCUCUCGCCUUCAAUUUCUAAGCAAUAACCUCUUCACUCACUACACGUAUUUAAUACCUUCGACCCGUCAACAAAGUUUCAUCGGUCUCUUCCCAAAAAAAAAAAACACAAACUCCAAGUCUUCGAGAGAAGACUCAAGACAACUUACAAGUCUCUUCCGUACAUAGCCAUGUCUCUACUAUGUAAGAAACCGAAAUCUGGUCGACUCUCGAGAUUCAUGUCGGAGUUUCACCAAUCUCCAAAACGCGGUGGGAUCAUGGUCGUUGAAACUGGCUUUAAUUCCAACUUCUCUGAUCGAUCUCUUCUUCAAGAAUCGCGAUCGUCUAAAGAAGUAUUCCUCUAAAACGAAACGCAUCCAACGCUUGACUGUGUAAGACAGAUCAUGCAGACAUGAGUGGUGUAAUUGUAACGGCCGGCUUACAUAAAAUAUCCGGAGCCUCGAAAAGAUCCGAUUAGCGCCAAUGACCGUCCACCGAAGCUUAGCCGGAGAGCCCGCCGAAGCAUCCAAGAGGGCUAGUGAUCAUCCCAUAUAAAUCCCACCAAUGGCCACAAAUAUUUUAAUGAUUAAAGGACCUAUUACAUUUUCAAAAUUCUUAAACCUAAUUUAUUCAAGUUGUUAUCUACUUUUUGAGCAAAUUUUCUUAAAAUUUUAAGCAGCUUUUUAAAUCUAGGGGUUUAAAUUUACUGCUUAAGAUAUAUUACUAGAUCUUCGCCCUUUAUUUUCACUUUUAUAUGCAUAUAUAUUUA